AGACAGCAGUAGCCACGGUAAUACGAAGGGUGCAAGCGUUACUCGGAAUUACUGGGCGUAAAGCGUGCGUAGGUGGUGGUUUAAGUCCGUUGUGAAAGCCCUGGGCUCAACCUGGGAAUUGCAGUGGAUACUGGGUCACUAGAGUGUGGUAGAGGAUAGUGGAAUUUCCGGUGUAGCAGUGAAAUGCGUAGAGAUCGGAAGGAACAUCUGUGGCGAAGGCGACUAUCUGGGCCAACACUGACACUGAGGCACGAAAGCGUGGGGAGCAAACAGGAUUAGAUACCCCUGUAGUCCCUGUCUCUUAUAA
rnacentral:rRNA from 1 species